GGGGGCAGCUAGGGAGAGAGCUGGAGGCUGCCUAGCUGAAGGCUGACUCUGCCUGUUGAGGAGAGCUCCAAUAGUCCACUGUCCUCUAUGGGUGCUAACAGGGAUGUAAAUGUUAUGAUGAAACCCUCAAAAAGAGAGGAGACCAUGGGUAUUGAAAGUCAUUUUGUGGUAAGGCAGAGAACUCAGAGGACGAGAGAGGCAGGAAGUUACCACCACCAAAGGGUUAGGGAACACAGAAGAGCUGCUAGAUUCUGUGCAGGAAAACAGCAGGCAAUAUUUCCUAGUAGGAUUCCCCCAAAAGGUCAUAUCCUUCUGCCCUGUGCAGUUAGGCCCAGAGUUGGCUUUGUUCAGACCUUCUAUCCUAUCAGAGGAAAUGAACCUGGCUGCUGACCAGGAGGCAAUGGGAUCAAUCAAUAAAUCCCACAGAACGUUGAUGGGCAGCUGCUGCUCAAUCUGGUCCUCUCCUUUCUGCUAGAUGAAGCCUCCAGGAGAGAUUAGACUCCUGUACUACUAACAUACUUGCACAAUCAGCUUUACAUCUGCUCAGCUAAUGUAUCCAUGAGAUGUCAAAAUACCUGGGAGAGGAGUUCCUGGAUGAAAAAAGGGAGAGGGAGACACUUCAGAGCUAACCACCACCCUGACCAGGCCCAUCACUGAAGGCAUCAACCCUUUGGCUGUCAAAAUAGGAUCAUCAUAGGAUUUAUCACUGCUCCUUUGGAACCAGGCAGAGACAGUAAUAAGGAACAGCUUCGUCCACCCCUGGCUGGCUAAGAGACUGCACACUUUCCAGACAGGGGCAAGCAACCAUAAUCCAAAGAAUUAUAGUUUCCUAUGGAGUCCAGGGGCGAAGGGGGUGGGGUGGAAAAAGAUUAGAAAGGAUAACUUUAAAAUCUCAAGAGUAUAAGCAGCUAAACUAAACAACAAGAGCUUGGUUUUUAUGCUACCUUAAAUCCAGUAUUGUGGCACUUCAAUAGUACAGCAAUUAGCACUCUCUAAAUAGACUGAGCCUUCAUUCAUUGCCUUCCAUAGCACUCCCAUGAUACCA